rnacentral:rRNA from 1 species
AGAACCUUACCUACUCUUGACAUCCACGGAAUUUGGCAGAGAUGCUUAAGUGCCUUCGGGAGCCGUGAGACAGGUGCUGCAUGGCUGUCGUCAGCUCGUGUUGUGAAAUGUUGGGUUAAGUCCCGCAACGAGCGCAACCCUUGUCCUUUGUUGCCAGCGCGUAAUGGUGGGAACUCAAAGGAAACUGCCGGUGAUAAACCGGAGGAAGGUGGGGAUGACGUCAAGUCAUCAUGGCCCUUACGAGUAGGGCUACACACGUGCUACAAUGGCGCAUACAAAAAGCGGCGAGCGUGCGAACGUAAGCGAACCUCAUAAAGUGCGUCGUAGUCCGGAUUGGAGUCUGCAACUCGACUCCAUGAAGUCGGAAUCGCUAGUAAUCGUGGAUCAGAAUGCCACGGUGAAUACGUUCCC